rnacentral:rRNA from 1 species
CGAGUCGAGAGGGUUCGGCCCUCGGCUGACGGCUCAGUAACACGUGGAUAAUCUGCCCUUAGGUGGAAGAUAAUCUCGGGAAACUGAGAAUAAUACUCCAUAGAUCUAGGAUGCUGGAAUGCACUUAGAUUGAAAGCUCCGGCGCCUAAGGAUGAGUCUGCGGACUAUCAGGUAGUAGUCAGGGUAAAGACCUGACUAGCCUACGACGGAUACGGGUUGUGAGAGCAAUAACCCGGAGACGAUAUCUGAGACACGAUAUCGGGCCCUACGGGGCGCAGCAGGCGCGAAAACUUCACACUGUGCGAAAGCACGAUGAGGGAAUCCCGAGUGCCGACUCGUAAGAGUUGGCUGUUUCUCUGUCUAAAAAACAGAGAGAGUAAGAGCUGGGUAAGACGGGUGCCAGCCGCCGCGGUAAUACCUGCAGCUCAAGUGGUGGCCACUAUUAUUGGGCCUAAAACGUCCGUAGCCGGUUUAAUAAAUGCCGGGGUAAAUCGUGUAGCUUAACUAUACGAAUUCCGGGUAGACUGUUAGACUUGAGACCGGGAGAAGCUAGAGGUACUCCUGGGGUAGAGGUGAAAUUCUGUAAUCCUAGGGGGACCACCAGUGGCGAAGGCGUCUAGCUAGAACGGGUCUGACGGUGAGGGACGAAGCCCUGGGGCGCGAACCGGAUUAGAUACCCGGGUAGUCCAGGGUGUAAACGCUGCUUGCUUGAUGUUAGUUGGGCUCCGAGCCCAAUUAGUGU